CCUACGGGCGGCUGCAGUGGGGAAUAUUGGACAAUGGGGGCAACCCUGAUCAAGCCAUGCCGCGUGUGUGAAGAAGGCCCUCGGGUUGUAAAGCACUUUCAGUGAGGAAGAACGCCUGGUGGUUAAUACCCAUCAGGAAAGACAUCACUCACAGAAGAAGCACCGGCUAACUCCGUGCCAGCAGCCGCGGUAAUACGGAGGGUGCGAGCGUUAAUCGGAAUUACUGGGCGUAAAGCGCGCGUAGGUGGCUUGAUAAGCCGGUUGUGAAAGCCCCGGGCUCAACCUGGGAACGGCAUCCGGAACUGUCAAGCUAGAGUGCAGGAGAGGAAGGUAGAAUUCCCGGUGUAGCGGUGAAAUGCGUAGAGAUCGGGAGGAAUACCAGUGGCGAAGGCGGCCUUCUGGACUGACACUGACACUGAGGUGCGAAAGCGUGGGUAGCAAACAGGAUUAGAUACCCUAGUAGUC
rnacentral:rRNA from 1 species